rnacentral:rRNA from 1 species
UACGAAGGGGGCUAGCGUUGCUCGGAAUUACUGGGCGUAAAGCGCACGUAGGCGGCUUCUUAAGUCGGUGGUGAAAUCCUGGAGCUCAACUCCAGAACUGCCUUCGAUACUGAGAAGCUCGAGUCCGGGAGAGGUGAGUGGUACUGCGAGUGUAGAGGUGAAAUUCGUAGAUAUUCGCAAGAACACCAGUGGCGAAGGCGGCUCACUGGCCCGGUACUGACGCUGAGGUGCGAAAGCGUGGGGAGCAAACAGG